CACGUAGUUAGCCGGUGCUUCUUCUGCAGGUACCGUCUUCAUUCGUUCCUGCUGAAAGAGGUUUACAACCCGAAGGCCUUCAUCCCUCACGCGGCGUCGCUGCGUCAGGCUUCCGCCCAUUGCGCAAUAUUCCCCACUGCUGCCUCCCGUAGGAGUCUGGGCCGUGUCUCAGUCCCAGUGUGGCCGGUCGCCCUCUCAGGCCGGCUACCCGUCGUCGCCUUGGUAGGCCAUUACCCCACCAACAAGCUGAUAGGCCGCGGGCCCAUCCUUGACCGAAAAAACUUUCAACCACCACAGAUGCCUGUAGAAGUGAUAUCCGGUAUUAGCAGCUGUUUCCAACUGUUAUCCCGAAGUCAAGGGCAGGUUACCCACGUGUUACUCACCCGUUCGCCACUCGAGUACCCGCAAGCGGGCCUUUCCGUUCGACUUGCAUGUGUUAACGCACGCCGCCAGCGUUCGUCCUGAGCCGACGGAGUCAACUGCCAACGGCACACAGGGGAGUAAG
rnacentral:rRNA from 1 species